AGAACGAACGCUGGCGGCAUGCCUAAUACAUGCAAGUCGAACGAAGGCUUCGGCCUUAGUGGCGCACGGGUGCGUAACGCGUGGGAAUCUGCCCCUUGGUUCGGAAUAACAGUUGGAAACGACUGCCAAUACCGGAUGAUGACGAAAGUCCAAAGAUUUAUCGCCAAGGGAUGAGCCCGCGUAGGAUUAGCUAGUUGGUGAGGUAAAGGCUCACCAAGGCGACGAUCCUUAGCUGUCUGAGAGGACUGAUCAGCCACACGUGGGACUGAGACACGGCCCAGACUCGUACGGAGGCAGCAGUAGGGAAUAGUUGGACAAGUGGGCGAAAGCCUGAUCAGACAAUGCCGCGUGAGUGA
rnacentral:rRNA from 1 species